AUUGAACGCUGGCGGCAUGCCUUACACAUGCAAGUCGAACGGUAACAGGCCUUCGGAUGCUGACGAGUGGCGAACGGGUGAGUAAUACAUCGGAACGUGCCUAGUAGUGGGGGAUAACUACUCGAAAGAGUGGCUAAUACCGCAUGAGAUCCACGGAUGAAAGCAGGGGAUCGCAAGACCUUGCGCUACUAGAGCGGCCGAUGGCAGAUUAGGUAGUUGGUGGGAUAAAAGCUUACCAAGCCGAUGAUCUGUAGCUGGUCUGAGAGGACGAUCAGCCACACUGGGACUGAGACACGGCCCAGACUCCUACGGGAGGCAGCAGUGGGGAAUUUUGGACAAUGGGCGCAAGCCUGAUCCAGCAAUGCCGCGUGCAGGAUGAAGGCCUUCGGGUUGUAAACUGCUUUUGUACGGAACGAAAAGCCCUGGGUUAAUACCCUGGGGUCAUGACGGUACCGUAAGAAUAAGCACCGGCUAACUACGUGCCAGCCGCCGCCGUAAAAC
rnacentral:rRNA from 1 species